rnacentral:lncRNA from 1 species
ACGUAAUACGGUGUUCCGACGACUCCACUCAUUUUCUCGCCGUCGCCGAACCAUUCCGCCGAACCGAAAUCAGCUAAUUUGAGAUUAUCUUCAGAAUCAAAGAGAAUGUUAUCCGGCUUGAUAUCGCGAUGAGCGACACCGAGACGGUGGCAGUGAACAACGGCUUCGAGAAGCUUUUUGAUUAUCGCAGCGGCUUGUUGUUCCGUUAAAGGAUUCGCAACGAUACGGUCGAGGAGAGUGUGAGGUUGACAAAGCUCUAAGACGAUGGAUAAGAAAUCGUCGUUUUCAAAAACGUCGAAGAUUUGAAGGAUGUUAGGGUGAGGUGAAAGAAGAGAGAGGAAUUUAGGUUCGUUUUCGAGACACUCGCGAUCAGUGGAAUCGGCGAGGAGAGAUUUGUCGAUAACUUUGACGGCUGUUGGUACGGCGGAGUCAGGGUGGUAGCACCGGAAAAUGGUACCGAAACGACCACGACCGAUCUCCUCGCUGAGUUGGUACUUAGUUUUUAGGGUUUCGCACAUCUCAACAAUUUUUUCUUCGAUUUUGAUUAUCGAG